rnacentral:rRNA from 1 species
UACAGAGGUCUCAAGCGUUGUUCGGAUUCAUUGGGCGUAAAGGGUGCGUAGGCGGCGCGGUAAGUCGGGUGUGAAAUCUCGGGGCUUAACUCCGAAACUGCAUUCGAUACUGCCGUGCUUGAGGACCGGAGAGGAGACUGGAAUUUACGGUGUAGCGGUGAAAUGCGUAGAUAUCGUAAGGAAGACCAGUGGCGAAGGCGGGUCUCUGGACAGUUCCUGACGCUGAGGCACGAAGGUCAGGGGAGCAAACGGG